GCCCCGGUCGUCUAGAGGCCUAGGACAUCGCCCUUUCACGGCGAAAACACGGGUUCGAAACCCGUCCGGGGUA
rnacentral:tRNA from 5 species